rnacentral:rRNA from 1 species
AACGAACGCUGGCGGCAGGCUUAACACAUGCAAGUCGAACGCCCCGCAAGGGGAGUGGCAGACGGGUGAGUAACACGUGGGAACGUGCCCUAAGGUUCGGAAUAUUCCCGGGAAACUGGGAGCAAUACCGAAUGUGUCCGUAAGGAGAAAGAUUUAUCGCCUUAGGAUCGGCCCGCGUCAGAUUAGGUAGUUGGUGGGGUAAUGGCCUACCAAGCCGACGAUCUGUAGCUGUUCUGAGCGGAAGAUCAGCCACACUGGGACUGAGACACGGCCCAGACUCCUACGGGAGGCAGCAGUGGGGAAUUUUGGACAAUGGGCGCAAGCCUGAUCCAGCAAUGCCGCGUGCAGGAAGAAGGCCUUCGGGUUGUAAACUGCUUUUGUACGGAGCGAAAAGGCUCCCUCUAAUACAGGGGGCUCAUGACGGUACCGUAAGAAUAAGCACCGGCUAACUACGUGCCAGCCGCCGCCGUAACAC